rnacentral:lncRNA from 1 species
GUUGGACUUGAUACUCAGGGCCGUGUGAGUGUACAGUCCAGUGAUUUCUGGAUGGGACACUCUCUGGACGAAUUGCCAGGAGGAAUCAGGUGACAGCUUGGCUUUGUAGAGAGGAAGGAAG